CUGGACGGCGGUUCCUCGCAGGAACGACCCCGCGGCGGCACCACGUCUCCCGCGGCCGCUCUAAAAUGGCGCCCUUAUCUGCCUGCGCCGCGCACGGAUACCGGCGCGAGGACGGGGAAUGGCGGCGGCCGCCUCUACUGCGCAUGCGCGGGGGCGUAAACCGUCUCGCCUCAGCGAGGGACGUCUGCCUCCGCGGAGGAAAACAGUCCCCGCCGAUCCGUUGGUUCCCCCGUCUCGGGCCAACAUUCAGAUUGCAAUAACGUUGUGAAGAACUUUCACCAGGAAGGGGAAUAACGCAGUGAAUUAAACUCUCCUCAACUCAUCACCGAAAAACUGUGAGCCCCAUGUGUGACCUGAUGAUGUAACUACCCC